rnacentral:rRNA from 1 species
UACAGAGGGGGCAAGCGUUAAUCGGAAUUACUGGGCGUAAAGCGCGCGUAGGUGGUUCGUUAAGUUGGAUGUGAAAUCCCCGGGCUCAACCUGGGAACUGCAUUCAAAACUGUCGAGCUAGAGUAUGGUAGAGGGUGGUGGAAUUUCCUGUGUAGCGGUGAAAUGCGUAGAUAUAGGAAGGAACACCAGUGGCGAAGGCGACCACCUGGACUGAUACUGACACUGAGGUGCGAAAGCGUGGGGAGCAAACAGG